rnacentral:rRNA from 1 species
AGAGUUUGAUCCUGGCUCAGAACGAACGCUGGCGGCGUGCCUCAUACAUGCAAGUCGAACGAGAAAGCUCUUCGGAGUGAUUAGAGUGGCGCACGGGUGAGUAACACGUAGGUGACCUGCCUUUUAGUGGGGAAUAACCGGUGGAAACGCCGGCUAAUACCGCAUGUGCUGGCCGACCUUGGAAAAGGUCAGCAAAGGGGGCGGCUUCGGCCGCUCUCGCCAGAAGAUGGGCCUGCGCAACAUUAGCUUGAUGGUGGGGUAACGGCUUACCAUGGCGAUGAUGUUUAGCCGGUCUGAGAGGAUGAUCGGCCACACUGGAACUGAGACACGGUCCAGACUCCUACGGGAGGCAGCAGUAGGGAAUAUUGCGCAAUGGGGGAAACCCUGACGCAGCAACGCCGCGUGAGUGAGGAAGGCCUUCGGGUUGUAAAGCUCUGUUAAGAGGGAAGAACGGCAUGGGGGCUCAUACCCUCCGUGUGUGACGGUACCUCUAGAGGAAGCACCGGCUAACUUCGUGCCAGCAGCCGCGGUAAUACGAAGGGUGCAAGCGUUGUUCGGAUUUAUUGGGCGUAAAGCGCGCGCAGGCGGACGGUCAAGUCAGAUGUGAAAUCUCGGGGCCCAACCCCGAAACUGCGUCUGAAACUGGCCGUCUAGAGUCUCGGAGGGGGAUGGGGAAUUUCGCAUGUAGGGGUAAAAUCCGUAGAGAUGCGAAGGAACACCUGUGGGGAAGCCGCCAUCCUGGACGAGAACUGACGCUGAGGCGCGAAAGCGUGGGGAGCAAACAGGAUUAGAUACCCUGGUAGUCCACGCCGUAAACGAUGAGCACUAGUCGUUGGGGGUUUUGAUCCCCUCGGUGACGCAGCUAACGCAAUAAGUGCUCCGCCUGGGGAGUACGGUCGCAAGACUAAAACUCAAAGGAAUUGACGGGGGCCCGCACAAGCGGUGGAUCAUGUGGUUUAAUUCGAAGCAACGCGAAAAACCUUACCCGGACUUGAAAUCCCGGGAAUUCUCCAGAGAUGGAGAAGUGCCCUUCGGGGAACCCGGUGACAGGUGCUGCAUGGCUGUCGUCAGCUCGUGUUGUGAAAUGUUGGGUUAAGUCUCGCAACGAGCGCAACCCCUAUUCCUAGUUGCCAGCAUUGAGUUGGGCACUCUAGGGAGACUGCCCGGGUGAACCGGGAGGAAGGUGGGGAUGACGUCAAGUCCUCAUGGCCCUUAUGUCCGGGGCUACACACGUGAUACAAUGGUGCAUACAGAGGGAAGCGAACCGGCGACGGGGAGCAGAUCUCAAAAAGUGCAUCUCAGUCCGGAUUGGAGUCUGCAACUCGACUCCAUGAAGUUGGAAUCGCUAGUAAUCGCGGAUCAGCAUGCCGCGGUGAAUACGUUCUCGGGCCUUGUACACACCGCCCGUCAAACCAUGGGAGUCGGCCUUACCUGAAGCUGUGACCCUAACCUUCGGGGGGGGAGCAUCUACGGUCGGGCCGAUGACUGGGGUUAAGUCGUAACAAGGUAGCCGUA